rnacentral:rRNA from 1 species
CCUACGGGAGGCAGCAGUGAGGAAUAUUGGUCAAUGGACGAGAGUCUGAACCAGCCAAGUAGCGUGAAGGAUGACUGCCCUCUGGGUUGUAAACUUCUUUUAUAUGGGAAUAAAAUGUUCCACGUGUGGGAUUUUGUAUGUACCAUCUGAAUAAGGAUCGGCUAACUCCGUGCCAGCAGCCGCGGUAAUACGGAGGAUCCGAGCGUUAUCCGGAUUUAUUGGGUUUAAAGGGAGCGUAGGUGGAUUGUUAAGUCAGUUGUGAAAGUUUGCGGCUCAACCGUAAAAUUGCAGUUGAAACUGGCAGUCUUGAGAACAGUAGAGGUGGGCGGAAUUCGUGGUGUAGCGGUGAAAUGCUUAGAUAUCACGAAGAACUCCGGUUGCGAAGGCAGUUCACUGGACUGCAACUGACACUGAGGCUCGAAAGUGUGGGUAUCAAACAGGAUUAGAUACCCCUGUAGUC